rnacentral:lncRNA from 1 species
AAAUCACACACAAACAAGCAAACCAGUAAUUUAUGCCAAACAAGAUAACACACAACAUCGGGUUCUCAGUCAUUCAACCCAUAAUCAAUAAAACAGUCAUAUAUGCACACGAAACUAUGAAAUGAAAACAUCAGACCUCAUACUGCAUUUAAAAUUGUAAAAUAGGCCAAACAACAGCUGACCGACAAACACACCAGACUCGAGCUCCAUUAGCGACUUUAAACAAUUUCACACAUCUAUUGAUUCAUGAAAUACCGUUUUAUCAUUUAUUAAACUUUAAUACCGUGAUAGAAAAUAGGGUGAGGGGUCCUUACUCGUUUCGGGGUCCGAACACGGCUUCACAGUGCGCCUACAGGCUGUCCCUAAUUUUCCCUGAAUUUUUCCCGGG